rnacentral:rRNA from 1 species
AUUGAACGCUGGCGGCAUGCCUUACACAUGCAAGUCGAACGGCAGCACAGUCGUAGCAAUACGAUGGGUGGCGAGUGGCGGACGGGUGAGGAAUGCAUCGGAAUCUGCCCGAUCGUGGGGGAUAACGCAUCGAAAGGUGCGCUAAUACCGCAUGAGAUCGAGAGAUGAAAGCGGGGGACCGCAAGGCCUCGCGCGAUCGGAUGAGCCGAUGCCGGAUUAGCUAGUUGGCGGGGUAAAGGCCCACCAAGGCGACGAUCCGUAGCUGGUCUGAGAGGAUGAUCAGCCACACUGGGACUGAGACACGGCCCAGACUCCUACGGGAGGCAGCAGUGGGGAAUAUUGGACAAUGGGCGCAAGCCUGAUCCAGCAAUGCCGCGUGUGUGAAGAAGGCCUUCGGGUUGUAAAGCACUUUUAUCGGGAGCGAAAAGCGGACGGUGAAUACCCGUCCGUGCUGACGGUACCCGAGGAAUAAGCACCGGCUAACUUCGUGCCAGCCGCCGCCGUAA